rnacentral:lncRNA from 1 species
AUACUGCAUUAGUUCUCAACAAGGGUUGCAUUGCAUAGCGUGCAAUAUCACCAACACAAUGGCUAGAACGGCUAGAACUCCAGUUCCUCCACGAUCCUCCUCGAUUGCAGCUGCAGUCACUUGCCUUUUGCUAGUCGUCUCCCGAGACGCCAUCACCAGCGCAGCCGCAUCUCCCAAAGCUCCAGCAUCCACCGGUGGCUGCAUCGCGGCCGAGAGGGAUGCCCUGCUCUCGUUCAAGGCUGGCAUCACAAGCGACCCCAAGAAACGCCUCAGCUCAUGGCUAGGUGAGAAUUGCUGCCAGUGGAGCGGUGUGAGGUGUAGCAACAGGACGGGGCAUGUUAUCAUCCUCAACCUCAGCAACACUAUCUUACAGUAUGAUGAUCCGCAUUAUUACAAGUACGCCGAUGUUGAUUUUCAGUUGUAUGGGAACAUAAGUUCGUCUUUGGUAAGCCUGCGACAACUGAAAUGCCUGGAUCUUAGUGGGAACAUCCUUGGAGAAAGUAUGCCAGAGUUCUUGGGCUCCCUUCAAAGUUUGACCCAUCUCAACCUAGCAUGUAUGGGUUUUUACGGCAGAGUACCUCAUCAGCUUGGUAAUCUGUCUAAUUUGCAGUUUCUUGACAUAACAUCUGAAGUUUAUGACCAUCCUCCUAUGCACACAGCUGACAUCUCAUGGUUGGCACGCCUUCCUUCAUUGAAGUAUCUUGAUAUGAGUUAUGUGAAUCUAAGCUCAGUGGUUGAUUGGGUCCGUCCAGUGAAUAUGCUUUCCCGUCUUGAGGUUCUACGCCUUACAGGGUGUUGGAUCAUGAGUUCAUCAUCAACAGGACUCACCAAUCUGACAAGCCUUGAAACACUUGACCUCUCUGAGAACACUUUGUUUGGCACGGUAAUUCCCAACUGGGUGUGGAGCAUGAAGACGGUUAAGAUGCUUAACCUGGCCUCAUGCCACUUGUCUGGUUCAUUUCCUGAUGGAUUAGGCAACUUAACUUUGUUGGAAGGCCUUAACCUUGGAGGUGAUAGCUACCUUGGGACGCUGCCAUCAACAUUAAACAACACUUGCAAUCUGAGGGUCCUAUACCUCAAUGAGAAUUUGAUCGGCGUGGAAAUCAAAGAUCUGAUGGAUAAGCUUCCAAGGUGUACUUGGAAUAAAUUGGAGGAGCUUGAUUUGUCUUAUAAUGACAUUACUGGAAACCUGGAUUGGCUGGGGAGCCAAACUAGCUUAACAAGCCUUUACCUAUCUUGGAACAAAUUCAGUGGUCAUUUGCCCUUGGUAAUCAGAGAAAUGACUAAUUUGAUAACUCUAUUUCUAGAUAACAAUGAUAUCAGUGGUGUGAUCUCGAAGCAGCAUCUUUCAGGCCUUUUGAGUUUGGAGGAAAUCGAUAUGUCUUUUAAUCCUUUGAAGGUAGUCCUAGACGAAAGUUGGAGCCCUCCUGCUGAAUUGUCCGAAGUUUAUUUUGCAUCUUGCCAACUGGGUCCAGAAUUUCCUGUGUGGAUCAAAUUGUUGAAUAAUUGUUACUCAAUUGAUGUUUCAAGUUCAGGCAUAAAAGAUGAGCUUCCUAAUUGGUUCUGGAAUUUAGUUUCUGAUGUUGCAAACGUAAAUAUAUCUCAUAAUCAGAUCAGAGGGAAGUUACCAGACAGUUUUCAAGGUAUGUCAACUGAAAAGCUCAUUCUAGCUUCGAACCAGCUGACUGGUCACCUGCCAUCGUUACCGGAAAAUCUCUAUUAUUUGGACAUUUCCAGAAACUUAUUGUCUGGUCCGCUGCCAUUUAAUUUUGGUGGCGCAAAUCUUGAUACACUCAUUCUCUUUUCCAACCAUAUCAAUGGCAGCAUUCCACAGUCCCUUUGCAAGAUGCACAAAUUGCGUGCCUUGGAUUUAGCAGACAAUUUUCUGGUAGGAGAACUUCCUCACUGUUUGCCGACAGAACUGAAACCAUCGACUGGUGGUAGUUUUAUACAUUCCACAAGUCUGAACAUUCAUAUCCUUUUACUAAGCAAAAAUCAGCUUUCUGGAGAGUUCCCUAUGCUACUGCAAUCGUGCCAAAGCAUCACCAUUCUUGAUCUAGCAUGGAACAAAUAUUCUGGAAAGUUGCCAGAGUGGAUAGGUGAAAAGUUGCCAUCCAUAGUAAUUCUGCGUAUCAGGUCUAAUAAGUUCUCUGGUCAUAUCCCAGGUGGUUUUACCAAACUUGAUCAUCUGCGGUAUUUGGAUAUAGCUAAUAAUAGUUUUUCUGGUACUAUCCCACAAUCCCUUCCGUGCUUGAAAGGAAUGAUCAACGAACCAGAAAAUUUAGAAACAUUGUUCCUAUUUGGAGUGGCACUGGAAAACGGAUUCGGAGCUUUCGAUGUAUUCGGCCUGUUCCAUUAUAGCAUAUCAUUUGUUCUGCAAGGUCAACAACUUGAAUACAGCAAGGGACUUGUGUACUUGGUGGGCCUUGAUUUUUCUAGCAACAAAUUGUCUGGCCAUAUUCCAAAGGAGAUUGGUUCUCUUGUCGAAUUGGUAAAUUUGAAUCUGUCCUGGAACCAGUUAGCAGGAAACAUUCCGGAUCAGAUUGGUGAGCUGCACCAAUUAACCUCCCUUGACCUAUCAUAUAAUCAAUUUUCUGGAGAAAUCCCUUCAAGCCUAUCAAAUUUGACAUUCUUGAGCUAUCUGAACUUGUCUUACAACAAUUUAUCGGGAAGGAUUCCUCGGGGACAUCAACUGGACACACUCAAUGCAGAUGAUCCAUCUUUGAUGUACAUCGGCAACCCAGGUCUUUGUGGUUAUCCCCUUGCAAAGAAUUGUCCUGAAAAUGGGACAUCUCAAGGUCAAACCGUUAAAAGUCAUCACGAUGGUUCGUUCUGUGCUGGUCUCAGUGUGGGGUUUGUGAUUGGAGUUUGGAUGGUUCUUGCGUCACUUUUGUUCAAGAAGAGUUGGAGGUUUUCUUACUUUCACCACUUUGAUAGGCAGUAUGACAGAUUGAAUGUGUUUCUUACUGUCACUUCAGCGAUAUACCUCCAAAAGGCUACACGAUUUAAGGAUAGAAGAAGCUGAGUGGAUUCCUACAUAUAAGGGCUUUCUACCUAAGAAAAUUUUCUCGUACUUGAGAAGGUACCGAGAGCUACUAUAUUUUCUAGACUAAAAAAUGUGGAACUUCUCGAUAUCUUCUCAAGGAUCAUCUAAUCAAUCGGAAGUUGAAAAAUAAUCCUACAUUACAUCUUUGUAAUAUUAGCCCAUGUGUGGCUCUCUAUGUUGCCUUCUUGUCUUGUUUUCAAGCACUCGUAUUAGACAAUAAUAAUCUCGCAGCAUAUCGUGCAC